rnacentral:rRNA from 1 species
AUGAACGCUGGCGGCGUGCCUAAUACAUGCAAGUCGAGCGAACAGAUGAGGAGCUUGCUCCUCUGACGUAGCGGCGGACGGGUGAGUAACACGUGGAUAACCUACCUAUAAGACUGGGAUAACUUCGGGAAACCGGAGCUAAUACCGGAUAAUAUAUUGAACCGCAUGGUUCAAUAGUGAAAGACGGUUUUGCUGUCACUUAUAGAUGGAUCCGCGCCGCAUUAGCUAGUUGGUAAGGUAACGGCUUACCAAGGCAACGAUGCGUAGCCGACCUGAGAGGGUGAUCGGCCACACUGGAACUGAGACACGGUCCAGACUCCUACGGGAGGCAGCAGUAGGGAAUCUUCCGCAAUGGGCGAAAGCCUGACGGAGCAACGCCGCGUGAGUGAUGAAGGUCUUCGGAUCGUAAAACUCUGUUAUUAGGGAAGAACAAAUGUGUAAGUAACUAUGCACGUCUUGACGGUACCUAAUCAGAAAGCCACGGCUAACUACGUG